rnacentral:rRNA from 1 species
UACGUAGGGUGCAAGCGUUGUCCGGAAUUAUUGGGCGUAAAGAGCUCGUAGGCGGUUCGGUAAGUCGGGUGUGAAAACCUCCAGGCUCAACCUGGAGAGGCCACCUGAUACUGCUGUGACUCGAGUCCGGUAGGGGAGCGUGGAAUUCCUGGUGUAGCGGUGAAAUGCGCAGAUAAUCAGGAGGAACACCAGCGGCGAAGGCAGCACUCUGGGACGUGACUGACGCUGAGACGCGAAACGUGGGAGCAAACAGG